GAGUUUGAUCGUGGCUCAGAUUGAACGCUGGCGGCAUGCCUUACACAUGCAAGUCGAACGGCAGCAUGAUCUAGCUUGCUAGAUUGAUGGCGAGUGGCGAACGGGUGAGUAAUACAUCGGAACGUGCCCUGUAGUGGGGGAUAACUAGUCGAAAGAUUAGCUAAUACCGCAUACGACCUGAGGGUGAAAGUGGGGGACCGCAAGGCCUCAUGCUAUAGGAGCGGCCGAUGUCUGAUUAGCUAGUUGGUGGGGUAAAGGCCCACCAAGGCGACGAUCAGUAGCUGGUCUGAGAGGACGAUCAGCCACACUGGGACUGAGACACGGCCCAGACUCCUACGGGAGGCAGCAGUGGGGAAUUUGGACAAUGGGCGAAAGCCUGACCCAGCAAUGCCGCGUGUGUGAAGAAGGCCUUCGGUUGUAAG
rnacentral:rRNA from 1 species